UACGUAGGUGGCAAGCGUUGUCCGGAAUCAUUGGGCGUAAAGCGCGCGUAGGCGGCCCGGUAAGUCCGCUGUGAAAGUCCAGGGCUCAACCCUGGAAAGCCGGUGGAUACUGCCGGGCUAGAGUCCGGGAGAGGCGAGUGGAAUUCCUGGGUGUAGCGGUGGAAUGCGCAGAUAUCAGGAGGAACACCUAAGGCGAAGGCAGCUCGCUGGAACGGUACUGACGCUGAGGCGCGAAAGCGUGGGGAGCAAACAGGG
rnacentral:rRNA from 1 species